AAUCAACGCUGGCGGCGUGCCUCAGACAUGCAAGUCGAACGAUUAAAGCUCUCUUCGGAGAGUGUAUAGAGUGGCGCACGGGUGAGUAACACGUAAGUAAUCUACCUUUGAGUGGGGAAUAACCCGGGGAAACCCGAGCUAAUACCGCAUAAUGCAGCGGCACCGCAAGGUGACAGUUGUUAAAGGAGCAAUCCGCUUAAAGAGGAGCUUGCGGCAGAUUAGCUAGNGGUAAGGUAAUGGCUUACCAAGGCUUCGAUCUGUAUCCGGCCUGAGAGGGCGGUCGGACACACUGACACUGAAUAACGGGUCAGACUCCUACGGGAGGCAGCAGUCGGGAAUUUUGGGCAAUGGGCGAAAGCCUGACCCAGCAACGCCGCGUGAAGGAUGAAGUAUUUCGGUAUGUAAACUUCGAAAGAAUGGGAAGAAUCAAUGACGGUACCAUUUAUAGUCCGGCUAACUACGUGCCAGCAGCCGC
rnacentral:rRNA from 1 species